UUUAACUAGGGAUAGAUACCCUAUUAUUAAAAAUUUAAUUUAAAAUACUAAAAUAGUAAAUAAUAAUUUAUUGAAACUUAAAUAAUAUGGCGGUAUUUUAGUUCAUUUAGAGGAAUCUGUUUAAUAAUUGAUAAUCCACGAAUAAAUUUACUUAAUUUAAAAUUUUGUAUAUCGUUGUUAAAAAAAUAUUUUUUAAUAAAAAUAAUAUUUUAAAAUUAUAAAAUAAAUUAAUUCAGAUCAAGAUGCAGAAUAUAAUUAAGAAUAUGAUGGAUUACAAUAAAUUUAUUUAGAUGAAUAUAAUAUUUGUAAAAUAUAUUUGAAAGUGGAUUUAAAUGUAAUUUUAUUUAGUUAAUAAAAUCAUAUAGGAAGGG
rnacentral:rRNA from 1 species